rnacentral:sRNA from 1 species
AUCCAUAAUUCGAUUAGUUUUCAUAUCAUUUUGUAAAAA